rnacentral:tRNA from 1 species
GCCGGGGUGGCCGAGUGGCUUUAGGCGGCGGGCUGCAGACCUGCUUAUGUGGGUUCAAUUCCCACCCCUGGCUCCA